rnacentral:tRNA from 1 species
UCCCUGGUGGUCCAGUGGUUAAGAUUCCACGCUCCCAAAGCAGGGGUCCGGGUUAGAUUCCUGGUCAGGGAA